GACGAACGCUGGCGGCGUGCCUAAUACAUGCAAGUCGAACGCAGUGGGGACGGGUGAGCAACACGUGGGUAACCGCCCAUCAGAGGGGAGAACACUUGGAAACAGGUGCAAAACCGACACUGAUGGAUGAACCCGCGGUGCAUUAGCUAGUUGGUUGGGUAACGGCUCAACAAGGCCACGAUGCAUAGCCGAUCUGAGAGGACGAUCGGCCACACUGGGACUGAGACACGGCCCAGACUCCUACGGGAGGCAGCAGUGGGGAAUGUUCGGCAAUGGACGAAAGUCUGACCGAGCAAUGCCGCGUGAGUGAAGAAGGUUUUCGGAUUGUAAAGCUCUGUUGUUAGAGAAGCGGUAUCUACACAGUAAGCCACGGCUAACUACGUGCCAGCAGCCGCGGUAAUUC
rnacentral:rRNA from 1 species